AUUGAACGCUGGCGGCAUGCCUUACACAUGCAAGUCGAACGGUAACAGGUCUUCGGAUGCUGACGAGUGGCGAACGGGUGAGUAAUACAUCGGAACGUGCCUAGUAGUGGGGGAUAACCACUCGAAAGAGUGGCUAAUACCGCAUGAGAUCUACGGAUGAAAGCAGGGGAUCGCAAGACCUUGUGCUACUAGAGCGGCCGAUGGCAGAUGAGGGAGUUGGUGGGAUAAAAGCUUACCAAGCCGACGAUCUGUAGCUGGGAUGAGAGGACGAUCAGCCACACUGGGACGGAGACACGGCCCAGACUCCUACGGGAGGCAGCAGUGGGGAAUUUUGGACAAUGGGCGCAAGCCUGAUCCAGCAAUGCCGCGUGCAGGAUGAAGGCCUUCGGGUUGUAAACUGCUUUUGUACGGAACGGAAAGCCCUGGGUUAAUACCCUGGGGUCAUGACGGUACCGUAAGAAUAAGCACCGGCUAACUACGUGCCAGCAGCCGCCGUAACAC
rnacentral:rRNA from 1 species